rnacentral:rRNA from 1 species
UACGGAGGGGGCUAGCGUUAUUCGGAAUUACUGGGCGUAAAGAGCACGUAGGCGGUUUAUUAAGUUGAAAGUGAAAUCCCAAGGCUUAACCAUGGAAUGGCUUUCAAAACUAAUAAGCUAGAGAUCGAUAGGGGAUGGCGGAAUUCCUAGUGUAGAGGUGAAAUUCUUAGAUAUUAGGAGGAACACCGGUGGCGAAAGCGGCCAUCUGGAUCGAUACUGACGCUGAGGUGCGAAAGCGUGGGGAGCAAACAGG